UAGAAGUGCAGUAAUGUCACCUCUAACGGAAAAUAAGAUUUUUAUUUUUCGUAAUUUUAAAAAGUUGAUGUUCGCUAUGUUACUAUUUUGUGAUUCAUCAACUGGAUCUCCUGUUACAGUGGAUCCCAUUUUUUUUUUACCCAUAGCAGGUUUUUUCAUGCCAUCUCCUGGCAUCAAAUCAAACUGCAGUGAUCCUUUAAUUUUUACUAGAGAAGAUUUGUCUUCCGGACAUCCCCUAAAUGUUUCAUGCCAUUCUGGGGAGAAUUUGACUGUUGUCGUCAAAGAAGAUUUAAAAAACUGUACCAUACGUCUUAGGAAAAACACCUCAAUUGAACCUUUGGCCCUGUGCCGAGAGGGUCAUCCAGAAACAGACCGGGAUGCAACGUUUAAGGAUCGAGUGAAUAUGACGGCCUGCGAUGACAUGUCUGUCGGCUGGAACGUGACUUUGAGGAAUUUGACGAAGAACGAUAGUGGACCUUACAUCUUGAAGUUCGAUAAUCAGUUUAAUGUUGACUGUGAUCCCAAAUCUAAUGAAAUCAAUUUAAAUGUCACAGAUGCAACGAAUGAAAACCAUCAACCCAAAACCGUUGCUGUUGCUCUUUCUGUUCUUGUUCUUGUGCUUGGCAUUGUUCUAAUUAUAUUUUGUGUUUCUAAGAAAACAUUUUUUUUAGAAAAACUCAACAUAAAAAAACCCUACCAAGAAGUUAGAACAAUCCAGUUAAAUCAGCUAGCAGACUGCUAAAGAGAGCAUGAACAAUUUAUUUUUUUUUAAAGUUUGCCCAGAUGAGGGAGAUCUUGCUUUAGUCAUCUUGUAGCAACAGAGGAAAGGAUGAUAACAUGUUAUGAAUUAUCUGAUGGUAUAGAUCACUGACUGUGAACUUUGAGUGUUUGCCUCAUUGCUGGAGAUUAAACUCAUCUGUGAUAAGAAAA